UUGGUAGAUCGACUGGUAGCACAUGGGUGAUAAGAUAGUUUACGAUGUCCACAUACCAUGGGGCUGCUUGCUGAAUCAAAAACUCAUCACCCAACAGGGAAGGCUCCCCAUUAAUUGGCAAUCAGCUAAGGUGGUCUGCUACCAAAUUCUCUAUUUCCUUUUCAUCUUUUAUUUUGAGAUUGAAUUCUUGCAGAAGAAGUAUCCAUCAUAUAACCUCACUUUUGCCUCUUUUUUCUU
rnacentral:lncRNA from 1 species